rnacentral:rRNA from 1 species
GAUGGACGCUGGCGGCGUGCCUAAUACAUGCAAGUCGAGCGAACGGACGAGAAGCUUGCUUUUCUGAUGUUAGCGGCGGACGGGUGAGUAACACGUGGAUAACCUACCUAUAAGACUGGGAUAACUUCGGGAAACCGGAGCUAAUACCGGAUAAUAUUUUGAACCGCAUGGUUCAAAAGUGAAAGACGGUCUUGCUGUCACUUAUAGAUGGAUCCGCGCUGCAUUAGCUAGUUGGUAAGGUAACGGCUUACCAAGGCAACGAUGCAUAGCCGACCUGAGAGGGUGAUCGGCCACACUGGAACUGAGACACGGUCCAGACUCCUACGGGAGGCAGCAGUAGGGAAUCUUCCGCAAUGGGCGAAAGCCUGACGGAGCAACGCCGCGUGAGUGAUGAAGGUCUUCGGAUCGUAAAACUCUGUUAUUAGGGAAGAACAUAUGUGUAAGUAACUGUGCACAUCUUGACGGUACCUAAUCAGAAAGCCACGGCUAACUACGUG